AGUGAACGCUGGCGGUAGGCCUAACACAUGCAAGUCGAACGGCAGCACAGUAAGAGCUUGCUCUUACGGGUGGCGAGUGGCGGACGGGUGAGGAAUACAUCGGAAUCUACUUUUUCGGGGGGGAUUACGUAGGGAAACUUACGCUAAUACCGCAUAUGACCUACGGGUGAAAGCAGGGGAUCUUCGGACCUUGCGCGAUUGAAUGAGCUGAUGUCGGAUUAGCUAGUUGGCGGGGUAAAGGCCCACCAAGGCGACGAUCCGUAGCUGGUCUGAGAGGAUGAUCAGCCACACUGGAACUGAGACACGGUCCAGACUCCUACGGGAGGCAGCAGUGGGGAAUAUUGGACAAUGGGCGCAAGCCUGAUCCAGCCAUACCGCGUGGGUGAAGAAGGCCUUCGGGUUGUAAAGCCCUUUUGUUGGGAAAGAAAAGCAGCAGGUUAAUACCCCGCUGUUCUGACGGUACCCAAAGAAUAAGCACCGGCUAACUUCGUG
rnacentral:rRNA from 1 species